AUUGAACGCUGGCGGCAGGCCUAACACAUGCAAGUCGAGCGGUAGAGAGAAGCUUGCUUCUCUUGAGAGCGGCGGACGGGUGAGUAAUGCCUAGGAAUCUGCCUGGUAGUGGGGGAUAACGUUCGGAAACGGACGCUAAUACCGCAUACGUCCUACGGGAGAAAGCAGGGGACCUUCGGGCCUUGCGCUAUCAGAUGAGCCUAGGUCGGAUUAGCUAGUUGGUGGGGUAAUGGCUCACCAAGGCGACGAUCCGUAACUGGUCUGAGAGGAUGAUCAGUCACACUGGAACUGAGACACGGUCCAGACUCCUACGGGAGGCAGCAGUGGGGAAUAUUGGACAAUGGGCGAAAGCCUGAUCCAGCCAUGCCACGUGUGUGAAGAAGGUCUUCGGAUUGUAAAGCACUUUAAGUUGGGAGGAAGGGCAGUUGCCUAAUACGUAACUGUUUUGACGUUACCGACAGAAUAAGCACCGGCUAACUCUGUG
rnacentral:rRNA from 1 species